CAGCAUGAACUUAGCUUGCUAAGUUUGAUGGCGACCGGCGCACGGGUGAGUAACACGUAUCCAACCUGCCGAUGACUCGGGGAUAGCCUUUCGAAAGAAAGAUUAAUACCCGAUGGCAUAAUUAUUCCGCAUGGGAUGAUUAUUAAAGAAUUUCGGUUGUCGAUGGGGAUGCGUUCCAUUAGGUUGUUGGUGAGGUAACGGCCCACCAAGGCGACGAUCGGUAGCCGGACUGAGAGGUUGAACGGCCACAUUGGGACUGAGAUACGGCCCAGACUCC
rnacentral:rRNA from 1 species